rnacentral:rRNA from 1 species
GAUGAGCGCUGGCGGCGUGCCUAAUACAUGCAAGUCGAGCGAACGGACGAGAAGCUUGCUUCUCUGAUGUUAGCGGCGGACGGGUGAGUAACACGUGGAUAACCUACCUAUAAGACUGGGAUAACUUCGGGAAACCGGAGCUAAUACCGGAUAAUAUUUUGAACCGCAUGGUUCAAAAGUGAAAGACGGUCUUGCUGUCACUUAUAGAUGGAUCCGCGCUGCAUUAGCUAGUUGGUAAGGUAACGGCUUACCAAGGCAACGAUGCAUAGCCGACCUGAGAGGGUGGUCGGCCACACUGGAACUGAGACACGGUCCAGACUCCUACGGGAGGCAGCAGUAGGGAAUCUUCCGCAAUGGGCGAAAGCCUGACGGAGCAACGCCGCGUGAGUGAUGAAGGUCUUCGGAUCGUAAAACUCUGUUAUUAGGGAAGAACAUAUGUGUAAGUAACUGUGCACAUCUUGACGGUACCUAAUCAGAAAGCCACGGCUAACUACGUG